rnacentral:rRNA from 1 species
CCCUAAACCAAGAUUUUUAAAAACAAAAAAUUCUGGCCGGGGAACUUCACACCAAACGUUUGGAACUCAAAGGGUUUGGCGGGGCCCUAAACCCACCUGGAGGGGCCUGUUCUUUAAUCGAUAAUCCACGAUUCACCUCNCCACCUCUUGGCCACAGGCUAUUUUCCUCCGGCUACAGGUGACCCUANUAGGGGAUAAAAGUAAGCAUAAUAGUCUAAACUACUAACUAAGCUGAUCGUGUUGCAUCCUGNUGAGGUAGGAGUGGUCGGCAANAUCUUCUACACCAAAAAUAAUCGGAGAAAGACCUCUGAAAUAUGGGCCUCUAAAGCAGGAUUUAGCAGUAAUGUGAGAACAGAGAGCCCACAUUAACUCGGAUCUGGAGC